rnacentral:rRNA from 1 species
UACAGAGGUCCCAAGCGUUGUUCGGAUUCACUGGGCGUAAAGGGUGCGUAGGCGGGUUAUUAAGUCAGAGGUGAAAUCCUGGAGCUCAACUCCAGAACUGCCUUUGAUACUGAUAGUCUUGAGUAUGGGAGAGGUGAGUGGAAUUGCGAGUGUAGAGGUGAAAUUCGUAGAUAUUCGCAAGAACACCAGUGGCGAAGGCGGCUCACUGGCCCAUUACUGACGCUGAGGCACGAAAGCGUGGGGAGCAAACAGG